GACGGACGCUGGCGGCGUGCCUAAUACAUGCAAGUCGAACGCUUCUUUCCUCCCGAGUGCUUGCACUCAAAUGGAAAGAGGAGUGGCGGACGGGUGAGUAACACGUGGGUAACCUACCCAUCAGAGGGGGAUAACACUUGGAAACAGGUGCUAAUACCGCAUAACAGUUUAUGCCGCAUGGCAUAAGAGUGAAAGGCGCUUUCGGGCGUCGCUGAUGGAUGGACCCGCGGUACAUUAGCUAGUUGGUGAGGUAACGGCUCACCAAGGCCACGAUGCAUAGCCGACCUGAGAGGGUGACCGGCCACACUGGGACUGAGAAACGGCCCAGACUCCUACGGGAGGCAGCAGUAGGGAAUCUUCAGCAAUGGACGCAAGUCUGACAGAGCACCGCCGCGUGAGUGAAGAAGGUUUUCGGAUCGCAAAACUCUGUUGUUAGAGAAGAACAAGGACGUUAGUAACUGAACGUCCCCUGACGGUAUCUAACCAGAAAGACACGGCUAACUACGUG
rnacentral:rRNA from 1 species